CCCUUAGAUGUCCUGGGCCGCACGCGCGUUACACUGAUGCAUUCAACGAGCUUAUAACCUUGGCCGAGAGGCCUGGGCAAUCUUGUUAACGUGCAUCGUGAUAGGGAUAGAUUAUUGAAAUUAUUAAUCUUGAGCGAGGAAUUCCUAGUAAACGCAGAUCAUCAAUCUGCAUUGAUUACGUCCCUGCCCUUUGUACGCACCGCCCGUCGCACCUACCGAUUGGAUGGUCCGGUGAAGCCUCGGGAUUGUGGUUCUUGCCGCUUUAUUGUGGCGUGACCGCGAGAACUUGUCUAAACCUUAUCAUCUAGAGGAAGGUGAAGUCGUAACA
rnacentral:rRNA from 1 species